AAUGAACGUUGGCGGCGUGGAUUAGGCAUGCAAGUCGGACGGGCCGCAAGGCCAGUGGCGUAAGGGUGAGUAAGGCGACGGCAAUCAACCCCACGGUUGGGGAUAGCCGCGAGAAAUCGC
rnacentral:rRNA from 1 species